GGCUGCUACUAGUAUCUACAUCUGUAUCAACAUGGCAAGUUAGAAGCUGGAUUAUUCCUCCUCUGUUUGUUGUUUAACAGUACGAUUGGAUCAUGCCCCUCUAUUCAACCCAAUGCUUGCCAUCAUAUUAUCUAUCAAUCAAUCGGAGAGAUAGUGAACUUGGUUCCUUAGUAUCUACCACAUGAACAUCCUGCAUAUAAUUUCAAACCUCCAAAGGUCAACCUCACUGUCCUGUACUGUGUACUACCAGAUUGUCACGCAGGGAAAUGUCUCAAUGGAGAUACUUGCACGGAGGAGCUAGGUGGAUAUAACUGUGCUUGUUCGGCAGCCUACGAAGAGAUACACUAUAAUUUAGAAAUUUGUCCUGAUGGUUGGAUUUUUGGGAGAACAAAAUGUUUUUUGGUGACAGGGUUGACUGGAGACCAAGGAACAUGGCAUGAUGCUUUGGAUUACUGCUCUAAUCUAGAUGAAGCAACAUUAAAGAAUGGAGAAAGGAUUAAACCAUCUAUGUUGUUUAUAGAAAGCGAUGAAGAGGUUAAUUUUCUGAGACCACAGUAUCCCCUGCUUCUGCCUGGAUAAAUUGUAACGAUCUUCAAGAAACAGAUACUUGGGUGUGUAUCAGGGAUCACGCAGGCACAACUAGUUUAUAUAGACAUGAUAGAAACUGGGACACAGAUCAACCAGACGAUCCCACCAAACAUUGUGUAUUAGUGGAUAUGACAUCGGGAGGAAUGCACGAUUUUUCAUGUUCAGGUACGAGCCAGAUCAUCUGCCAAAUCGACAUCCCUUCAUAAUUGUCCUUAAAUCUUUUAAAACAAAGAAAAACAUAUUGUGGCAAUGGGCCUAGGAUAUACAAUAACAUGUUUUAGCAUGAUACAAGGAGAACAUUCAUACUCAGGGACAAACAUAAAAGAAAAGAUAUACGCAUGUCCUUAUGGAUAAAAAACAAUGAGAAAUGGAAAACUCGGAAGAGAUAAGCUAUACCAUGGCAGAUUCAAUAUCAAGAUGUGACGUACAACUUAAGAUGGAUAAUUAUGUAAAACUAGAGCUAUUAGUUUUUAUGGAAUAUUUAGAAAAAAAAAUGGCUAAUUAAACCUUUAAGCUGAAAUUUAUUUAUAUUGUAUUCAAGCAUUUAUCAAUGAUAAUUUUUCAUAAAUUCACGAUAAAAUAGUCUUAUAAAAGCAAGGUUUAAAAGAACCGAUUUGAUCGAAACCACUAGAAUCUACCCGAACGUCGAACAGUAAAUUUGUCUGUUCAAAAUCAAAGUUGUACACUACAAUUAAUGCUUCAAAUAUUGACGGACAAGCCCACUCCAACUAAAAGUUGAUUUUUAUAAAAGGAGAAAAUUCAACAAGUAUAACCCUGAAAAUUUCAUCGAAACUGGAUGUAUAAUAAAAACGCUAUUUUG